UACGUAGGUGGCAAGCGUUAUCCGGAAUUACUGGGCGUAAAGCGUUCGUAGGCUUUUUUGAAAGUCUCCGAUUAAAGACUCAAGCUCAACUUGAGGAAGGUUGGAGAAACUCCAAGAAUAGAAGGAUAUCGAGGUGAGUGGAAUUCCCGGUGUAGCAGUGAAAUGCGUUAAUAUCGGGAGGAACACCAAUGGCGAAGGCAGCUCACUAGGUAUUUCUUGACGCUGAGGAACGAAAGCGUGGGGAGCAAAC
rnacentral:rRNA from 1 species